rnacentral:tRNA from 1 species
GCCAAAGUGGCUCAGGGGCAGAGCAGCUCACUCGUAAUGAGCAGGUCCUCGGUUCGAAUCCGAGCUUUGGCU